AAUUCAAGACAUUUUAACACCAUUUAAAAUGGAUAUAAUCCCACUUUGCCCCUGAAUAGCUUCAUAAAUAAACCUAGAUUGGGACAGGAAAUUUAGAACCAAAGAAAACUAAAUUAUUCAACUUAAUAACUAACUCAUGUAAGCCUAAUAUACCUUGUAUCUACUUGUAUAGUGUUUUUUGACUCUGGCAUAAAUGUAACUGGGAAGCCAGUUGACAAAGGCCAAAAAAAAGCAUUCAACCUCAAUAAAACCUACAUUUACCUCCGACAAGGUUUUUCAUUCCUUAUUUAUUUUUUUCUCUUUCUCAUCUGAUAUUAUAAUGUUUCCAGCUGUCUCUGUGGCCUUUAGCAUCUACUAUUCUAAGACUCCAUUCAACACAAUGAAUAAAUUCAAGCAAAGUGCAAACUAAUUAAACUUGGCAUAUAAAGUACAUUUUAAAAUGUCCUUCGAGAAAUUAUUCCAGUAACACUGAUGUUACUGGAAUAAUUCAUUUCCAACAUGGCGUGCAGCCCUAUUACAAUUUUCAUUUCCAUCUCCUUUUCACAAGGGCCAGAAAAUACUUUUUAAAUACUUUUUCCACCCCGAGAGUUUUUUUUUUUGUGCUUUUCAGGUUUGUGAAAUAAGCUCUUGUAUUUGGUUUGAACUUCCCUUUUAAAUGAAUGCCAACAGUUAGAGAUGGCUUGGGUAAUUCUGAGCCAUUGUGCAGGCUUUUCAAAGUGGAUUCUCACGUUGAAACUAAAUGCUGUUCAGUCAAAUUGCUGCAUUUUCUGUAAAGUGUUUUCAAAGUCAGCCACUGAGACUCAUCUUAGCAUUAAGAGCAUGGUUGUUACCAAGCAGAGCAUUCAGGUAAACCACCACAAGAGACAAUUCAGGGAAAAAUUAAAAGAAAUCAUUAUUUUUAUUUAAAUAACCGUUUCUGUGACAUGAUGAAAAUCUGUGCUUUAAAACUACUAUAGUUUUUUUUUUUAAAAUAAAGCCUUUUUUUAAUGCAAAGUGAGUUGUCGCUAUGGUACCACUUUAGUUACCAGGGAGCUUUUCCUAUUUUUAUUUUAUUGUUUUAUGUGUUGAUAAUUAUAGCUGUGGAUUUCAGUGGAACAAAGUGACUUUUAACCGAGCAGCUGAAACUACAUGCAACCUUUGCUGUAAACGUAACCCGUUAGACUUGAGUCAUAUGUGCAGAGUUUCGCCACGGUGUUUUAUAAAGCUCCCUUGCCUUUGACUCACACAUGACAGAUAAAUGUCCAGCUCAGCUACAGCCGCCAGCAUUAUAACUGAAAGCAUCAUUUCAGACAUCUCAUCAUAACUCCUCUGUAACGUUUCAUGGGCAAUCAUCGGAUAGCGUUUCUGACUACAUGGGAACUCUGAAACACAUUGAUGAGAAGACUGCUGACCUUUAGAUCAAAGUGGGCGAUGCGCUUGGAGUGGAGGUAGUGGACUCCGUCCAGGAUCUGCUUGAGGAACUGCGUGGCCUCCUCCUCGGUCAGGGACUCUUUCUCAGCCAGGAAGUCGAACAGCUCUCC